rnacentral:piRNA from 1 species
CAGAUUAAUUCAGGCUGCAUCCUGGACUGU